rnacentral:rRNA from 1 species
AUGUCAGUUUCGUUAUUACAACCUUAUUUUUUUAUGUCAAAGACAAAAAGCUACGCGCAAAUUCUCAUUGGAUCUCGGUUGUUCUUAACAGCGAUGGCUAUUCAUUUAAGUCUUCGGGUAGCACCACCAGAUCUUCAACAAGGUGGAAAUUCUUGUAUUUCGUAUCUACAUGUUCCUGCGGCUCGGAUGAGUAUAGUUUAUAUCGCAACAGCUAUAAACAGUUCCUUGUUCCCAUUCACAAAACAUCCCCUUUUUCUUCACUCUUCCGGAACCGGUACAGAAAUUGGUGCUUUUUCUACUUUGUUUACGUUAGUGACUGGGGGGUUUCGGGGAAGGCCUAUGUGGGGUACCUUUCGGGUGUGGAAUGCUCGUUUAACUUCUGUAUUCAUCGUGUUCCUUAUUUACCUGGGUGCACUGCAUUUUCAAAAGCUUCCUGUCGAACUGGCUCCUAUUUCAAUCCGUGUUGGAUCGAUCGAUAUACCAAUAAUAAAGUCUCCAGUCAACUGGUGGAAUACAUCGCAUCAACCUGGGAGCAUUAGCUGAUCUGGUACAUCAAUACAUGUUCCUAUGCCCAUUCCAAUCUUGUCUAACUUUGCUAACUUCCCCUUCUCUACCCGUAUCUUGUUCGUUCUGGAAACACAUCUUCCUAUUCCAUCUUUUCCUGAAUCUCCCUUAAUGGAAGAAAUAGAAGCUCGAGAAGGAAUACCACUAAAAACCUAG